CUGACUUGCAUUUCCCUCACUAAGAUGGAGGCCGGCUCACUGUCUCURAAGGCUGCGGCCUAAUCAGAAAGACCUGGCUACACUCCAACAUCUUUUACUAAGAGGAUGUCAUGAGACAAAAGGAUGCUUUCUGCCCAAAAAUAACUGUCAUCUUCAAAAGGAAUCUCCAGCUAUUUCAGUGUGGCUGUUUAUAUGUAAUUUUCCUGACAAAGGAGAAGACUUUGCCAAUGAGUCAGCUCGUUUUGGCUCUAUUAAAUCCCGCCCCCAACUCA